rnacentral:rRNA from 1 species
GAUGAACGCUGGCGGCGUGCUUAACACAUGCAAGUCGAACGGAAAGGCCCUGCUUUUGUGGGGUGCAUGAGUGGCGAACGGGUGAGUAACACGUGAGUAAUCUGCCCCUGACUCUGGGAUAACCUCAGGAAACGGGGGCUAAUACCGGAUAGGAGCUCCUGCUGCAUGGUGGGGGGCGGAAAGUUACGGCGGUUGGGGAUGGACUCGCGGCUUAUCAGCUUGUUGGUGGGGUAGUGGCUUACCAAGGCUUUGACGGGUAGCCGGCCUGAGAGGGUGACCGGCCACAUUGGGACUGAGAUACGGCCCAGACUCCUACGGGAGGCAGCAGUGGGGAAUAUUGCACAAUGGGCGGAAGCCUGAUGCAGCAACGCCGCGUGCGGGAUGACGGCCUUCGGGUUGUAAACCGCUUUCGCCUGUGACGAAGCGAGAGUGACGGUAAUGGGUAAAGAAGCACCGGCUAACUACGUG